rnacentral:rRNA from 1 species
UCAGGAUGUUGGCUCAGAAGCAGCCAUCCAUUCAAAGAGUGCGUAAUAGCUCACUGGUCGAGAGGUCCUGCGCCGAAAAUGUCCGGGGCUGAAACGCGCCACCGAAACUAAGGAACCGAAAGGUUGGUAGAGGAGCAUUGCAUGCGGAACGAAGCAGUACCGUAAGGAGCUGUGGACUGCAUGGAAGAGAGAAUGCCGGAAUGAGUAGCGAGAAUAAGGUGGGAAUCCUUAUGGCCGAAUAUCCAAGGUUUCCAGAGUAAAGCUGAUCUGCUCUGGGUAAGUCGGGGCCUAAGGCGAGGACGAGAGUCGUAGCCGAUGGACAACAGGUGGAGAUUCCUGUACUGCGGUAUGACAGAACUGUGGGGACACGUAAGGAAAGCGGAAGCCGGGAAUGGAAAGCCCGGUGCAAGCGGGGUACCAGCCACUCUGGCAAAUCCGGGUGGCAAUGGGAAGCCGUGAUGCGGAGCGAAAUAAAGUAGUGAAGUCCGUGAGCCAUGCGUCAAGAAAAGCCGCUAUUGUUUAUACCGUACCCGUACCGUAAACCGACACAGGUGGAUGAGGAGAGAAUCCUAAGGCCGGCGGAAGAAGCAUUGUCAAGGAACUCGGCAAAAUGGCCCCGUAACUUAGGGAUAAGGGGUGCCUGGGAAACCAGGCCGCAGAGAAUAGGCUCAAGCAACUGUUUAGCAAAAACACAGGUCUAUGCGAAACCGAAAGGUGAGGUAUAUGGGCUGACGCCUGCCCGGUGCUGGAAGGUUAAGAGGAGAGGUUAGCGCAAGCGAAGCUUUGAAUUUAAGCCCCAGUAAACGGCGGCCGUAACUAUAACGGUCCUAAGGUAGCGAAAUUCCUUGUCGGGUAAGUUCCGACCCGCACGAAAGGCGUAAUGAUUUGAGCGCUGUCUCGACAAUGCAUCCGGUGAAAUUGAAGUACCAGUGAAGAUGCUGGUUACCUGCGCCAGGACGGAAAGACCCCAUGGAGCUUUACUCCAGUCUGGUACUGGGACUCGGUAUUGCAUGUACAGGAUAGGUGGGAGGCUAGGAGAUGGUAACGCCAGUUGCCAUGGAGCCGCUGUUGGGAUACCACCCUUGCAGUAUUGGGUUUCUAACCAGCCGCCGUGACCCGGCGGUGGGACAAUGCCAGACGGGGAGUCUGACUGGGGCGGUCGCCUCCGAAAGGGUAUCGGAGGCGCCCAAAGGUUCCCUCAGAAUGGACGGAAACCAUUCGAAGAGUGCAAAGGCAGAAGGGAGCUUGACUGCGACACCGACGGGUGGAGCAGGUACGAAAGUAGGGCUUAGUGAUCCGGUGGUAUUAAGUGGAAAUGCCAUCGCUCAACGGAUAAAAGUUACCCUGGGAUAACAGGCUUAUCACUCCCAAGAGUUCACAUCGACGGAGUGGUUUGGCACCUCGAUGUCGGCUCAUCGCAUCCUGGGGCUGUAGUAGGUCCCAAGGGUUGGGCUGUUCGCCCAUUAAAGCGGUACGCGAGCUGGGUUCAGAACGUCGUGAGACAGUUCGGUCCCUAUCCGGCGUGGGCGUAGGAUAUCUGAGAGGAGCUGUCCUUAGUACGAGAGGACCGGGAUGGACGGGCCGCUGGUGCAUCGGUUAGACUGCCAAGUCUACGGCCGAGUAGCCAAGCCCGGAAGGGAUAAACGCUGAAGGCAUCUAAGCGUGAAGCCCCCCUUAAGAUGAGAUAUCCCAUUCGAAAGAAGUAAACCCCCCUGAAGACGACGAGGUAGAUAGGGCAGAGGUGGAAGUGCAGCAAUGCAUGGAGCUGACUGUUACUAAUCGGGUGAGGGCUUGAUC